CGCGCCCGGCGCCGCCGCCGGAGCCUCGGGGCGCGUGCGCGUGGCGGGGGCGGGGCGCACGUGCGUGUGUUUGUGUAUGAUCGGCCCGGCGGACGCGCGCGGGGUCUCCGGCCUCAGUCCAGGAACCUGGUGGUCCUCCCUGGGAAGCUGUCCUGGGCGCUGAGCUGGUGACGAGAACUGUCAGGAAGAGGACCCUGACCCCUUGAGCUCCUCUCCGCCUUCCUCAACCUUUUUCCAUCCUCCUCAUCCCCCCAGUACCCUUCUCCCUCCCCAAAUCUGCCCUCGGAAAAGUUAUGUCUAACUGGAGUGAAUUCGCCUGAGCCAGUGAGCUGACUUUGGGGCAAGAAGCGUCACGUGUCUUAAUUUUCCAAAUUAGAGAAAUCUGGCUCAGCUCCGGUUUGUCAGUGUUGGCGGGAAAUUCAUGUAGUCACGUUUUUUACUUUCCUUCUCCUUUCUCUCUGGGGUUGUGAAGUCCCAAAAAUUUGGGGAAGGAUUCGUUUUGUUUUGUUUCCCUCCUGUUUUGUUUUGUCUUUUAAAUUUUUUCCCUAUAGUCUUGAUGCCACUAGUCCAUAACCAUUCAGGGGGUAACCACUCAAGGACACAGCUCCAUAGCCGGCAAGCCUGCUGGACAGGAGGGGGAAAGGCAGGUGUGUCUUUGGGAUCUUCAGGUCCAGGGCCCAGGUUCGCCUUUCCACACACACCCCAUGCAGCUCUACCGGCCCCAGGAAGCCCUCCUACCUUGGCCUCUUUCUGAGUCCCUUUUGGAGCAGUGUUCUUAUCUAAUCCUUAGGAUGAAGGCCAGUGGUAGAGUUUGGGGUGUUUUUAUAGGGUGGCCCCUGAAACACCAAGGAGUUAUUCACCAGUGUAGGUUGUUGAGUAUUAAGGGCGGGGCAAGGGGAUGUAGAAAGGGCAAAACAAAAUUCAAAAUUUUAGCUCUUCUUGAGACAGUGGACCCUGAGUGAGAAAUCACCAUUUUUUUUUUUCUUUUUAGUGUCUUACAACAGCAAGACCAAGAUUGAAAUUAAUGUCUCAAUAGAUAAGCCUGCUAAGAGUUUUAAAAAGAAAGAAUUCCUAUCUGUCACGUUUUACCAUGAAUGCAUCCAUGAAAAGGCAGGGAGGAGAGGCAGAAUCCUGAAAUCACAUUGCUUCGGGUAUCAACUCCUCCGUAACAAGUUAUGCUCAACUUAGUGGCUUACUGCUAGAAUGUGACUGAUUGUCUCGCCUGAUUUCUGUGGGUCAGAGAUUUGGAUUCAGUCCUGGCUUGGCGAUUGCUCAUGCAGUUACAAAUGUAUGUCAGAUGGAGCUACAGUUAUUGGAAGACUUGACUGGGGCCAGGGGAUCAAUUACCUCAGAGGCCCCGUUCCAUAGAUCACUCCAUGGAUGGCUGUUGGCAUGAAACCUAGGUACCUCUUCCUGAAGUUCUGUCCACAAACUAGGCCAAGAUGGCUUCUAGCACUCGGGAGGAUGCUCUAGGACCCACCACCUUCUUGGCACCACCUUCCCCAAUAGUUCCCUGGGAGAGGCCUCACAACGUUGCUGCUGGCCACUGCAGAAGCUAUUUGACCAACCAUGGCUAAUCAGAAAGGUCUCCCCUGCCUGUCAUCACCUGGCCCCAUGAAGUUUUUCAGAUGCAAUCCAGCUACCUGAGAGAAGUACAAGGAGUGGUCCUUCCUCCUGAGUACUUUGCCUGGGACAUUGGUGCCCAGGUAUUUGUUCCAGAAGUGGCUCCAAGGGGCUGGGUGGGAAGCAGGAGGCCAUUAGGACCCAGAAGCUCUCAGAGCAUCCUGCUCUGCCGGUUGCCUCUCACUGCUCACUGCAGUGGUUCAGGCUUCAGCAGCCUUGGAGAAGCAUCAGCUGAGAGAAGCUAUCACAUGGGAGCCGGGAGCUGCUCAGCAAAGAUGCCUUUAGGAGGAAACUGGAGUCCAGAAGAAUCACAGAGAUAGUAAUGCCCAGACCUGGAACUGGAAGCUAAAUCUUAUGCUUCUUCUACUUCCCAUUCGGAGACUGGAAAUCAGAAAAUUCACAUAAGCAACCUUCAAACUGAGAUGCUGUCCUAGAACUCAGCAGGACCCUGGCAAAGGGAGACGGAGGCUAGAGAAUCCCUGGAUAACGACACUUGAAAGGAAGGAAGGGUAUGGAGAAUGGAGAAAGGAAAGUUAAAAAGGAGGUUCCAGAGGCCACUCAGAAGGUGGAGCACUGUUGAGUGGGCAAGGUUCCAUCCCUCACAUGUCUCCUGCUUCUUUCCAGUCACCAGGGCCAACCCUGGAGCUACCUCUUACCAGAAAGGGAAUAUGAGCUUCUGAGCCCACAGCUGCCUGGCCUGGUGCUCUGUUCACAGAGGAGCCCAUCCUUGAAGUCUGCCCAAGAGGAUCCCAUAGCAGGCCCCCCAAUCAAAUUGGGAAGCCUCGGCCUGGGCUUGCCAUCCCAGGGUUGUGGACUAGGAUGGGGGAUGGGGCUGUGACAGAAGGUGCUCUGGGUGUCCUCUUUCGGCCCCAUGGAGUCCUCACCCAUCCCCCAGUCAUCAGGGAACUCUUCCACUUCAGGGAGGGUCCUUCAAACUCCAGGUCCCUCUACUGCCAGCGGGGUCCCAGAGGUGGGACUGCGGGACAUAGCUUCAGAAUCUGUGGCCCUCUUCUUCAUGCUUCUGCUGGACUUGACUGCUGUGGCUGGCAACGCUGCUGUGAUGGCUGUGAUAGCCAAGACACCUGCCCUCCGAAAAUUUGUCUUCGUCUUCCACCUGUGCCUAGUGGACCUGCUGGCUGCCCUGACCCUCAUGCCCCUGGCCAUGCUGUCCAGUUCUGCCCUUUUUGACCAUGCCCUCUUUGGGGAGGUGGCCUGCCGUCUCUACUUGUUCCUGAGUGUAUGCUUUGUCAGCCUAGCCAUCCUCUCGGUGUCGGCCAUCAAUGUUGAGCGCUACUAUUAUGUGGUCCACCCCAUGCGCUAUGAGGUGCGCAUGACACUGGGGCUGGUGGCCUCUGUGCUGGUCGGUGUGUGGGUGAAGGCCCUGGCCAUGGCUUCUGUGCCAGUGUUGGGAAGAGUCUCUUGGGAGGAAGGAGCUCCCAGUGUCCUCCCAGGCUGUUCACUCCAAUGGAGCCACAGUGCCUACUGCCAGCUCUUUGUGGUGGUCUUUGCUGUUCUUUACUUCUUGUUGCCCUUGGUCCUCAUCCUUGUGGUCUACUGCAGCAUGUUCCGAGUGGCUCGUGUGGCUGCAAUGCAACACGGUCCACUGCCCACGUGGAUGGAGACCGCCCGACAACGCUCUGAGUCUCUCAGUAGCCGCUCCACUAUGGUCACCAGUUCAGGGGCUCCCCAGACCACCCCACAUCGGACGUUCGGGGGAGGGAAGGCAGCAGUGGUCCUCUUGGCUGUGGGGGGACAGUUCCUGCUCUGUUGGUUGCCCUACUUCUCUUUCCAUCUCUAUGUUGCCCUGAGUGCUCAGCCCAUCUCAACGGGACAGGUGGAGAGUGUGGUAACCUGGAUUGGCUACUUUUGCUUCACUUCCAACCCUUUCUUCUAUGGAUGUCUCAACCGACAGAUCCGGGGGGAGCUUAGCAAGCAGUUUGUCUGCUUCUUCAAGCCAGCUCCAGAGGAGGAGCUGAGGCUACCCAGUAGGGAGGGCUCCAUUGAGGAGAACUUCCUGCAAUUCCUUCAGGGGACUGGCUGUCCCACGGAGAACUGGGUUUCCCGGCCCCUUCCCAGUCCCAAGCAGGAGCCUCCUGCUGUUGAUUUUCGAAUCCCAGGCCAGAUAGCUGAGGAGACCUCUGAGUUCCUGGAGCAGCAACUCACCAGUGACAUCAUUAUGUCGGACAGCUACCUCCGUCCUGCCCCCUCACCUGGGCUGGAGUCAUGAUGAAAUGCUAGACACUGGGAAGGAAAUAGGGCUGGGGGCCGGUUAUGAUUGCAAGGACUGCCUUGUGGAACCACCAUUUUCCAGCUGGCUGGGUUGGGGCUGGGGCUGGAUCUCUGAACACAGCUUUUGCUUAGUGUCUACUGGGUGAGGACCAGAGCCAACAGGAUGGACAUGUGGCAAAAAGCCUUGAACUGGGCUGUGAUCUUUGACUACUGGGGGAGGGAACCUGGGUAUGCUGAGACGGUGACAAGAGAAAAGGGUCACAAAGGACUGGCCUCCCUGAUCUCUCUCCUCAUGGCAGUGACCCACCUCCAGCCCCCUGGACAAUCGGGUACAAGAGACUAAGGUCGGGCAUGGGAAGGGUGGGGUUUCCAUAGUCCAUUAAAUACCUCCCCAUUCCCAUUCAUCGCUCUCAAAAUUAGCUUCAGUGACAAAGACUUAAAUCUUCUCCUACCAGCAGCCCUGGGUUGGAGAGGGCACAGGAAUUGGGCUCAGCUAUUUACUAACUGAGACUAUAGGAACUGUGUUGAUUGGUAUUGGUGGUGGUAUUUCCAGUGGCGAGGGAAUAAUUGAAAACUGGAUAGGCCCAUCUGGGACCACCUGUCCAUCCCGCUUCCCACAAUUGACUCAGGUAACAUUAAAGGGUUAAGGUAGAGCCAGAGGGUGGUAAGUCUGUAUUUGAAAAAAUAUAGACUAAGCAUCAAAGCAGGAAAAUGGGUUGGGGGGAGUGGGAUAGUUUCCCCUUUGAACAGCUAAUAAAUAAUUUUUAUGAUAAAGUUAUAUUGAUAUCAACAUUGACUCCUUCAGUUCAAUUCAGUGCAUAAAUAGUUGAAUACCCACUAUUCCCUGGGCCCCACACAGAGGAUGUGUGGUCACUGCUUUCAAGUUCAUAGUCUAAUUUGAUCAGAUACAUUGUAUUUUGAUAGAGCAUUUAGAUCUGAUAAAGUACUACAGAAUAUACUUGAAAAAUAUAUUGGCGAAUCUAUCUAUGGUUCCAAGUUCUGAGGGUUCAUGACAGUGUUACCUAGAGAUUCCUGCAGAUUGUAGAAAGUGUGGGAGUUGUAAAUGACACUUGAGUAAAGAAAAAACUUAAAUAAAAC